GUAGGUGGCAAGCGUUGUCCGGAAUUAUUGGGCGUAAAGCGCGCGCAGGUGGUUCUUUAAGUCUGAUGUGAAAGCCCCCGGGCUCAACCGGGGAGGGUCAUUGGAAACUGGGGAACUUGAGUGCAGGAGAGGAAAGUGGAAUUCCACGUGUAGCGGUGAAAUGCGUAGAUAUGUGGAGGAACACCAGUGGCGAAGGCGACUUUCUGGCCUGUAACUGACACUGAGGCGCGAAAGCGUGGGGAGCAAACAGGAUUAGAUACCCUGGAAGUCCACGCCGUAAACGAUGAGUGCUAAGUGUUGGGGGGUUUCCGCCCCUCAGUGCUGCAGCUAACGCAUUAAGCACUCCGCCUGGGGAGUACGGUCGCAAAGACUG
rnacentral:rRNA from 1 species